GGCCAAGUUAGGUUUUUACUACAAUUGAAAAUGAAGUCUUAAAUCUAUUGAAGUAAAAUUUAGAAUUACUAUAAUUUUGAAAGAAGUUGAAUCAUGAUGAAGUACAUAAAGGGCGACAAAGGGAAGUAACGGCCUAACGGGGGUACUCUUUUUCCAUUGGAUGGAUUGGAAAGCCUGUUAUACGCUUGGAAGCAAAGGCACGCCCCAAGCCCAAGGUGAAAAGGCACAAUAUAUUCAAAUUCAAUUAUGUUUUGUUCAAAUUUUUUUUUAUCAUUUUAAUAAUAUCAUAUAUCAUAAUGGUUAAAGUAAUGCUGAUGGCAAACUGCUUAGAAAUGCACAGAUUACGCAAUUCACUAAGGGUUUUGUAAUAUUUAUAUUUCUAUGACACAAAUUUUACUUUCUAGUGCAAGAAUCUUCCCUGAUUAAAAUAAGAAAUGAAUUAAGUUCUUAUAACUAAACUGUUAUUUAACUAGAACAAUAAAAUUACACUCAUCACUUGAAAUCGUCAAAUUCUUUAUUGAUAUUGAAUUCGAACGACAAACCUUUUAAGGAACACUGUACGUCAAAAGCGAAUAUAAGCAUGAUAAUUGAGAAAUUUAACAAAAGACUUGGUGGCAGAUGCCAAACUGCAAUCGCAUCGUAGCUAGUUUCUGUUAUCCUCACGUGUUGGUGUGUGUGAUACAUGAUACAUUAUAAUGCCAAGGUAUUCGCAGGGCAAUACUUGUUUGUUUGUUUUUUUUUUUUACUUAAUUACAAUUUUCCAUUUUUACAUUCAUCGGCGAGGAAAUGGGAAAUAUUACCAAUAACAUUCCAGUGUCUUAUUAUAUAGCGUGUAAAAUAGAAUGAGG